ACAUAACAAAUUAAGUUAGUUAACUUUUCAAGGUUCACACUUAAUAGUCGCUAUUACAAGAUAAUAGGCCUCACCACCGGUCGCUCCUCUCGAUCUUCAUCUCAUCUUUUGUUAUAACUGUCACUGUCACACCACUAGUUCUGGCUGACGAAUCCAACUACUCUCACCAUCUUUGGUGAGAGCACCACCUCCAAUAACAGCUAGAGAAAAGCAAAGAGAUCUUCUCAUCUUAGGGUUCUGACGAACAACUAAAUCGAAACCCCAGUGCUGGCGACUUCUCCGCCACCGACCGUCAUAUACGGCAAGAGGUACUACUAUUCCAGAUUAAACGCCUCUCCUCAGGUGAUGAUAUCAAGAUUUUGGUGACAGUACACUCUUCGACAGUAGUACAUUUUCUGGUAAAGAAUAAUGGGGGAGUAGUACCAGUAGGGAAAAGGAGGCGACUGCUAAUUUCGGCGACUAAUUUUUGCAUGAAUUCGCCAGAAUCUGAUAAAACGAUCAAGAAACAUCCUAACCCCAUCUUCUUUAAGGAGAGGGUGCACUCGUUUCACUCCUCUAAAGUUGAUUUUUAGCUAGUUUAUUUGGCCUAGGUUUUUUGUCUCUUUUUAUCUUGAGUCCUUGUUUGGUUUUGUUCAUUGUUCCUUAGGUAGUGUAGUGUUUGUUGUGGUUUGUGAGUAUCAACUCUGCUUAUUGGUUUUGCUUUCAUAAUUAUCUAUUUUUAGAUGUUGCUUGUUA